rnacentral:rRNA from 1 species
GACGAACGCUGGCGGCGUGCCUAAUACAUGCAAGUAGAACGCACAGUUUAUACCGUAGCUUGCUACACCAUAGACUGUGAGUUGCGAACGGGUGAGUAACGCGUAGGUAACCUGCCUGGUAGCGGGGGAUAACUAUUGGAAACGAUAGCUAAUACCGCAUAAUAUUAAUUAUUGCAUGAUAAUUGAUUGAAAGAUGCAACUGCAUCACUACCAGAUGGACCUGCGUUGUAUUAGCUAGUAGGUGAGGUAACGGCUCACCUAGGCGACGAUACAUAGCCGACCUGAGAGGGUGGUCGGCCACACUGGGACUGAGACAAGGCCCAGACUCCUACGGGAGGCAGCAGUAGGGAAUCUUCGGCAAUGGACGAAAGUCUGACCGAGCAACGCCGCGUGAGUGAAGAAGGUUUUCGGAUCGUAAAGCUCUGUUGUAAGAGAAGAACGGGUGUGAGAGUGGAAAGUUCACACUGUGACGGUAUCUUACCAGAAAGGGACGGCUAACUACGUG